rnacentral:rRNA from 1 species
UACGUAGGGUGCAAGCGUUGUCCGGAAUUAUUGGGCGUAAAGAGCUCGUAGGCGGUUUGUCACGUCGGAUGUGAAACCCUGAGGCUCAACCUCAGGCCUGCAUUCGAUACGGGCAGACUAGAAUUCGGCAGGGGAGACUGGAAUUCCUGGUGUAGCGGUGAAAUGCGCAGAUAUCAGGAGGAACACCGAUGGCGAAGGCAGCACUCUGGGCCGGCACUGACACUGAGGAGCGAAAGCUAGGGGAGCAAACGGG